GUGAGUAAGACAACUACCUACCUCUCCUUACUGCUGAUGUGCUACUGAAAAAGUAUUGAGCCCAAUCUCCCAUUUUUUAUUUUUUAUUCAACCUUUAUUAACAUAUUCUAUCUAACUAGAUACUCCAGCUAUCCAUAAAAUACCUUUAUCUCACCCUUUGUUAACCCACUAGAAUUUAUUGACACACCGGUACGUCAAUCUAAGUAACAUAAUUUAAAAAAUCUCCAUCAAAAUCUGUCAGUUUAAGCUAGAGACCUCUGUGUCACGACACCGACGGAUUGUGGCGCCCCUCCUCGCCCGGGCGGCGCUCGGCGGGCGUCGUCGCUGGCCUACUAGCUGCCAUCGAUCCUCUGUUUCACUUUCUGUUGGUUAGGUCUAGGUUAGGCACACACCUGUUUUGUUUUAGUUGUUAUGGGGGGGGGGUGUAUUUAGUUUAGCUAGGUAGGUUUGUGUUUUGUGCGUGAUUGUCUAUGUCAGGACUGAUGUCGUUUUGAGGAACGUUAUUUUCCCUCUGCCUGUGUUUUGUGGGCUGCGUCCCUGCUUAGUGGUUAAGCGGGGUGUUUUUUGGAGCAUUUGUUUGUAUGCGGCCUGCCCUACUGUGUUCAGACAUUGUGGAUGCCCAUUAAAGUGUGUUCACAGAUUUUCUGUCUCCUGCGCUUGACUCUGCCUCUCCUGCUUCCUUGAGCCAACCUUGACACUCUGUUUGCAUUGGAUGCGUCUCAAUCCACCGCAUCCGCCGAUGUCGCACUUCCGCAUCUCCGGUGAAAGUUGGCAGAGCUAGAGCGGUGUUUGUCAGACCACGAGACAUGCUGAAAAUCGGUCUUCUCACGUCUGUAGCGUCCAAAUGGUUUGACCUACAAACUCUAUGGAAAGGGGAAAUUCUCACAAACACAAUGGUGUUCUACGUUUUGCUCUACAACCCCCAGAAGUGUCACGGGACUUGUCUGAAGGUAACCAUUUUUUUUAAAUUAUGGAAGUAUGAAGGUAGUUUUGUGCAUACCCUAAAAAGGGGUUAAAUAUGUGUAAAAUAUAUAUAUAUAUUUCCUGAGCUUUUUUAUAUCUCCUAGAUAUAGGACAAACACUUCAAAACCUUGUUUCUUAUGAUUUAUUUUUUGAUGGUCUUUUUUGCCAUUUAUUAAUUUUAUUUAAUGCAUUUCUCUGGGCUAUAGUAGUAAAGGCCAAGUUUAAAAAAAAAUAUAUAUAUACAUGUUUUAUACCUAAAGGGGUCCUAAAGUUGUAAAUCAAAUAGCUGAAUGCCCAUAGUAUGACCAUCUUAAAACAAUUCCGAAUGUCAGCUUUGAAAUCCCUCCCUAGCGGCUUAGACUUUUAAGAAUGAAUAAACAAACAAAAACUACCCAUGUAAAUCGAGCCAAAAUGUUUUCCCCUCCCACCAGCCAGAUAAAACGUACCUGCCCAACCCCAAGCAUGCACCCUUGGCAGAGUAGAGCAAACCACAUCCCUUGCUGAAUCUUCAUAACUUUUUUAUCAGCUUGCAUCAUCACAUCAUCCAGAGAUAGAUCUGACAUGCACUACUGUCAUGUUACAGCUGAGAUGGAGAAUACAUGCAACAUAUAUUCUGCAUUAGUUGAAUGUUAGCUAGGUACAGCAUGUAAACCAAAGCUAGAUUGCUGAC
rnacentral:lncRNA from 1 species